CACAUGCAAGUCGAGCGGUAACAGAAAGUAGCUUGCUACUUUGCUGACGAGCGGCGGACGGGUGAGUAAUGCUUGGGAACAUGCCUUGAGGUGGGGGACAACAGUUGGAAACGACUGCUAAUACCGCAUAACGUCUACGGACCAAAGGGGGCUUCGGCUCUCGCCUUUAGAUUGGCCCAAGUGGGAUUAGCUAGUUGGUGAGGUAAUGGCUCACCAAGGCGACGAUCCCUAGCUGGUUUGAGAGGAUGAUCAGCCACACUGGGACUGAGACACGGCCCAGACUCCUACGGGAGGCAGCAGUGGGGAAUAUUGCACAAUGGGCGCAAGCCUGAUGCAGCCAUGCCGCGUGUGUGAAGAAGGCCUUCGGGUUGUAAAGCACUUUCAGUCAGGAGGAAAGGUUAGUAGUUAAUACCUGCUAGCUGUGACGUUACUGACAGAAGAAGCACCGGCUAACUCCGUGCCAGCAGCCGCGGUAAUACGGAGGGUGCGAGCGUUAAUCGGAAUUACUGGGCGUAAAGCGUACGCAGGCGGUUUGUUAAGCGAGAUGUGAAAGCCCCGGGCUCAACCUGGGAACUGCAUUUCGAACUGGCAAACUAGAGUGUGAUAGAGGGUGGUAGAAUUUCAGGUGUAGCGGUGAAAUGCGUAGAGAUCUGAAGGAAUACCGAUGGCGAAGGCAGCCACCUGGGUCAACACUGACGCUCAUGUACGAAAGCGUGGGGAGCAAACGGGAUUAGAUACCCCGGUAGUCCACGCCGUAAACGAUGUCUACUAGAAGCUCGGGUCCUCGGACUUGUUUUUCAAAGCUAACGCAUUAAGUAGACC
rnacentral:rRNA from 1 species